GUCCACGCCCUAAACGAUGUCAACUUGUUGUUGGACGGCUUGCUGUUCAGUAACGAAGCUAACGCGUGAAGUUGACCGCCUGGGGAGUACGGCCGCAAGGUUGAAACUCAAAGGAAUUGAUGGGGACCCCGCACAAGCGGUGGAUGAUGUGGUUUAAUUCGAUGCAACGCGAAAACCUUACCUACCCUUUACAUGUCAAGAAUCUUGCAGAGAUGUGAGAGUGCUCGAAAGAGAACUUGAACACAGGUGCUGCAUGGCCGUCGU
rnacentral:rRNA from 1 species